rnacentral:misc_RNA from 1 species
UCCUGGUUAACCCAGGCAGUCUCAUUAGAGUUCCCACCAUUACGUGUUGGCAACUAAUGAUAAGGGUUGCGCUCGUUGCGGGACUUAACCCAACACCUCACGGCACGAGCUGACGACAGCCAUGCAGCACCUGUGCAGCAGCCCCGAAGGGAGACGCUAUUUCUAGCGCUGUCUACUGCAUGUCAAGUCUGGGUAAGGUUCUUCGCGUUGCAUCGAAUUAAACCACAUGCUCCACUGCUUGUGCGGGUCCCCGUCAAUUCUUUUGAGUUUCAGCCUUGCGACUGUACUCCUCAGGCGGCAUACUUACCGCGUUAGCUUCGGCACAUUCGGGGUUGAGUCCGAAUACACCAAGUAUGCAUCGUUUACAGCUAGGACUAC